rnacentral:rRNA from 1 species
GACAGAGGGUGCAAACGUUGUUCGGAAUUACUGGGCGUAAAGCGCGUGUAGGCGGCCCUGCAAGUCGGAUGUGAAAUCCCACGGCUCAACCGUGGAAGUGCAUUCGAAACUGCAGGGCUAGAGUCCUGGAGAGGAAGGUGGAAUGCUUGGUGUAGAGGUGAAGUUCGUAGAUAUCAAGCGGAACACCGGUGGCGAAGGCGGCCUUCUGGACAGUGACUGACGCUGAGACGCGAAAGCGUGGGGAGCGAACAGG